CCCGAGCCGUCCCCGCACCCCUUCCUUCUUCUCCCCGACGCCGCCGCGCGGCUUCUCCUUCGGAGCCCUAACCGCCGAGCCGUUUUCCUUCUCCCUCCCUCGCGUAUAAGCCUCGGCCAUUACCUCUUCUUCCUUCCCGAGCGCGCACAACCUCUUCUUCUUCUUCUCCUCUGCCGACGCCGACUCUCUUCUGUUGUGCCCUAACGAGCCGCGAGCCAUACUGCUGCUCUUCCUCGCCGCACACCGGGACCCCCUUCCUCCUCCCUGUCCAAGCGCCGGCCACCGCGACACCCAUCUCCGGCCUGUGCCCUAGACUCAGCCCCGAUGCCACUGCCGGCACAGGUUUCUCAGCGUCGGCCGCCGUCGCCGUGCCCUAGCACCGCCGCCGACACAUCCCCUCACCUCUUGCCGCUGGCCACAGACCGAGCAGUGCCGACCAUCACUAGAGACUGCUUGUUUCCGUGCCCUAACACUGCCUUGCUGCCCUCUUUUGUGCUCUGGAUCAGCAAUCGGCCACUGCAGCCUCCCUUGUGCGCUGUUUGGUUGAUCGCAGCCUAGCUCCUUGCCCUAAAUCUGCCGAGCCCUAAUUUGUUCUUCACUGCCGUGCCCUAGGUUUUCCCCUUGCUGGUGAGUGAGGUUUGGUGUCAACGGGAUUAAGCUGUUGUUGGAGCUGAGGAAUCUGAUCAUUAUUCGUACACUUAGGACAUUGAUUCGAGACGGUGUCUCGACGAGGGAUCAAUUUCGGAUUGGAC